rnacentral:rRNA from 1 species
GUUAUAUGGUCAAGUGAAGAAGCGCAUACGGUGGAUGCCUUGGCAGUCAGAGGCGAUGAAAGACGUGGUAGCCUGCGAAAAGCUUCGGGGAGUCGGCAAACAGACUGUGAUCCGGAGAUGUCUGAAUGGGGGAACCCAGCCAUCACAAGAUGGUUAUCUUGUACUGAAUACAUAGGUGCAAGAGGCGAACCAGGGGAACUGAAACAUCUAAGUACCCUGAGGAAAAGAAAUCAACCGAGAUUCCCUUAGUAGUGGCGAGCGAACGGGGACCAGCCCUUAAGUUGUAUUGAGAUUAGCGGAACACUCUGGAAAGGGUGGCCAUAGUGGGUGAUAGCCCUGUACGCGAAAAUCCCUUUGCAAUGAAAUCGAGUAGGACGGGGCACGAGAAACCUUGUCUGAAUAUGGGGGGACCAUCCUCCAAGGCUAAAUACUACUGACUGACCGAUAGUGAACCAGUACCGUGAGGGAAAGGCGAAAAGAACCGCGGAGAGCGGAGUGAAAUAGAUCCUGAAACCGUAUGCGUACAAGCAGUGGGAGCCCACUUUGUUGGGUGACUGCGUACCUUUUGUAUAAUGGGUCAGCGACUUAUUUUCAGUGGCGAGCUUAACCGAAUAGGGGAGGCGUAGCGAAAGCGAGUCUUAAUAGGGCGUCUAGUCGCUGGGAAUAGACCCGAAACCGGGCGAUCUAUCCAUGGGCAGGUUGAAGGUUGGGUAACACUAACUGGAGGACCGAACCGACUACCGUUGAAAAGUUAGCGGAUGACCUGUGGAUCGGAGUGAAAGGCUAAUCAAGCUCGGAGAUAGCUGGUUCUCCUCGAAAGCUAUUUAGGUAGCGCCUCAUGUAUCACUGUAGGGGGUAGAGCACUGUUUCGGCUAGGGGGUCAUCCCGACUUACCAAACCGAUGCAAACUCCGAAUACCUACAAGUGCCGAGCAUGGGAGACACACGGCGGGUGCUAACGUCCGUCGUGAAAAGGGAAACAACCCAGACCGUCAGCUAAGGUCCCAAAGUCAUGGUUAAGUGGGAAACGAUGUGGGAAGGCUUAGACAGCUAGGAGGUUGGCUUAGAAGCAGCCACCCUUUAAAGAAAGCGUAAUAGCUCACUAGUCGAGUCGGCCUGCGCGGAAGAUGUAACGGGGCUCAAACCAUGCACCGAAGCUACGGGUAUCAUCUUUUGAUGAUGCGGUAGAGGAGCGUUCUGUAAGCCUGUGAAGGUGAGUUGAGAAGCUUGCUGGAGGUAUCAGAAGUGCGAAUGCUGACAUGAGUAACGAUAAUGGGUGUGAAAAACACCCACGCCGAAAGACCAAGGUUUCCUGCGCAACGUUAAUCGACGCAGGGUUAGUCGGUCCCUAAGGCGAGGCUGAAAAGCGUAGUCGAUGGAAAACAGGUUAAUAUUCCUGUACUUCUGGUUAUUGCGAUGGAGGGACGGAGAAGGCUAGGCCAGCCUGGCGUUGGUUGUCCAGGUUUAAGGUGGUAGGCUGAGAUCUUAGGUAAAUCCGGGAUCUUAAGGCCGAGAGCUGAUGACGAGUGUUCUUUUAGAACACGAAGUGGUUGAUGCCAUGCUUCCAAGAAAAGCUUCUAAGCUUCAGGUAACCAGGAACCGUACCCCAAACCGACACAGGUGGUUGGGUAGAGAAUACCAAGGCGCUUGAGAGAACUCGGGUGAAGGAACUAGGCAAAAUGGCACCGUAACUUCGGGAGAAGGUGCGCCGGUGGAGGUGAAGCAUUUACUGCGUAAGCCCCUGCCGGUCGAAGAUACCAGGCCGCUGCGACUGUUUAUUAAAAACACAGCACUCUGCAAACACGAAAGUGGACGUAUAGGGUGUGACGCCUGCCCGGUGCCGGAAGGUUAAUUGAUGGGGUUAGCGCAAGCGAAGCUCUUGAUCGAAGCCCCGGUAAACGGCGGCCGUAACUAUAACGGUCCUAAGGUAGCGAAAUUCCUUGUCGGGUAAGUUCCGACCUGCACGAAUGGCGUAACGAUGGCGGCGCUGUCUCCACCCGAGACUCAGUGAAAUUGAAAUCGCUGUGAAGAUGCAGUGUAUCCGCGGCUAGACGGAAAGACCCCGUGAACCUUUACUAUAGCUUUGCACUGGACUUUGAAUUUGCUUGUGUAGGAUAGGUGGGAGGCUUUGAAGCGUGGACGCCAGUCUGCGUGGAGCCAACCUUGAAAUACCACCCUGGCAACUUUGAGGUUCUAACUCAGGUCCGUUAUCCGGAUCGAGGACAGUGUAUGGUGGGUAGUUUGACUGGGGCGGUCUCCUCCUAAAGAGUAACGGAGGAGUACGAAGGUGCGCUCAGACCGGUCGGAAAUCGGUCGUAGAGUAUAAAGGCAAAAGCGCGCUUGACUGCGAGACAGACACGUCGAGCAGGUACGAAAGUAGGUCUUAGUGAUCCGGUGGUUCUGUAUGGAAGGGCCAUCGCUCAACGGAUAAAAGGUACUCCGGGGAUAACAGGCUGAUACCGCCCAAGAGUUCAUAUCGACGGCGGUGUUUGGCACCUCGAUGUCGGCUCAUCACAUCCUGGGGCUGAAGCCGGUCCCAAGGGUAUGGCUGUUCGCCAUUUAAAGUGGUACGCGAGCUGGGUUUAGAACGUCGUGAGACAGUUCGGUCCCUAUCUGCCGUGGACGUUUGAGAUUUGAGAGGGGCUGCUCCUAGUACGAGAGGACCGGAGUGGACGAACCUCUGGUGUUCCGGUUGUCACGCCAGUGGCAUUGCCGGGUAGCUAUGUUCGGAAAAGAUAACCGCUGAAAGCAUCUAAGCGGGAAACUUGCCUCAAGAUGAGAUCUCACUGGAACCUUGAGUUCCCUAAAGGGCCGUCGAAGACUACGACGUUGAUAGGUUGGGUGUGUAAGCGCUGUGAGGCGUUGAGCUAACCAAUACUAAUUGCCCGUGAGGCUUGACCAUAUAACACCCAAGCAAUU